rnacentral:rRNA from 1 species
AAGCUCCGGCGGUGAAGGAUGAGCCCGCGGCCUAUCAGCUUGUUGGUGGGGUAAUGGCCUACCAAGGCAACGACUGGUAGCCGGCCUUGAGAGGGCGACCGGCCACACUGGGACUGAGACACGGCCCAAACUCCUACGGGAGGCAACUCUGGGGAAUAUUGCACAAUGGGCAAAAAGCCUGAUGGAGCGACGCCCCGUGAGGGAUGACGGCCUUCGGGUUGUAAACCUCUUUCAUCAGGGAAGAAUCGCACGUGACGGUACCUGGCUCAAAAAGCGCCGGCUAACUACGUGCCAGCACCCGCGAUAAUACGUAGGGCGCAAGCGUUGCCCGCAAUUAUUGGGCGUAAAGAGCCUCGUAGGCGGCUUGUCAAUUCUGAUGUGAAAGCCCGGGGCUUAACCCCGGUUCUGCAUUCUAUACGGGCUAGCUACAGUGUGUCAGGACAGAUCGGAAUUCCUGGAGUAUCGGUGAAAUGCACAAAUAUCAGGAUGAACACGGGUGGCGAAGGCGGAUCUCUGGGCCAUUACUGACGCUGAGGAACGAAACUUGCGGAGCUAACAGUGAUUACAUACCCUGGUAGUCCACGCCGUAAACGAUGAGAACUAGGGCGUGGGCGAC